UCGGUUCCGGUUCACGCUCGACUGUGGGCGACCCGGCGACC
rfam:Mycobacterium sp. 1274761.0 strain 1274761 contig_81, whole genome shotgun sequence.